rnacentral:rRNA from 1 species
AUGUACUCUACGAAGAAAAUCAUGAAGGCGCUCUCCAUGGAUUAUGAGAAAAUACAUGUUUGUCCAAAGAAUUGCCUUUUCUUUAGGCAUGAGUAUGCGAAUGACAACUACUGUAGGAAGUGCGGUUCCUCUCGAUAUAUUGAGGUGGUCGAUGAGCAGGGUCAGAAGAAGCAGCGAAAAAUCCCUGCGAAGGUUCUUCGGUAUCUUCAUUUCAUAGAAAGACUGCAGCGACUUUUCAUCACCGAGGAGUCUGCAAAAAUGAUGAAGUGGCACAAGGAAGGGAAAAUGUACAAUCCAAAUAAAAUCGUACAUCCAUCAGAAGGUGAAGCACGGAAGUCAUUCGAUACAGAAUACCCCGAGGAAGCAGCCGAGGCUGGGAAUGUCAGAAUUGCUAUAUCAGGUGAUGGGUUCAAUCCAUAUGGUAUGUCGUCUAAUCCAUACAGCUGA